UACGUGGGGAGCAAGCGUUGUUCGGAUUUACUGGGCGUAAAGGGCGCGUAGGCGGUCGUGACAAGUCACUUGUGAAAUCUCCGGGCUUAACUCGGAACGGUCAAGUGAUACUGUCGGACUAGAGUACAGAAGGGGCAACUGGAAUUCUCGGUGUAGCGGUGAAAUGCGUAGAUAUCGAGAGGAACACCUGCGGCGAAGGCGGGUUGCUGGGCUGAUACUGACGCUGAGGCGCGAAAGCGUGGGGGAGCAAACAGG
rnacentral:rRNA from 1 species